rnacentral:lncRNA from 10 species
AUCACACAGGGCAGCCAUGUACGCAGGAAGCUGUUUCUGGAAAGCAGAGAAGGAAAGAGCCUUUGACCCACGCACAUUAAUCCAAGGGCCAAAGAAAAUCAAGCACUUUGCUUCAAGCAAAACUGAGAUCUCCAUGCAGAAAGAGACAGGUCUGGGUUUGAAUCCUGGCUCCACCACUCAACAGCCAUGCACCUGGACCAAGGAGCUCAGCGGAGUGGUCACUCUCGGGAUGUCUGCAGCCAUCAUCCACAGUCCUGGGGCAAUCACUUAGGCUUCAAGCCUUGGACCUCAGUCUUCUCCAGCCAGGCUCUCAGGAACUAAUGGAGAGGAGCCCCAUCCUUUCUUAGGGGCAAAGCCAGGAA